GUAGGUGAACCUGCGGAAGGAUCAUUAUUGAAGUCACUGAGAGGUUUUUUUGUUGCUGGCUCUCUGGAGCAUUGUGCACGGCCUCUCUCACACUUUAUUUAAAUCACUUGUGCACCUCUUGUAGUCUCUCCUCUUCAGAUAAAUAUUUUUUGUUUCUCCUCUACCAUGAGGGGGGUAGGGACUUGUGCUACGUUCUCUCGUGGCUUUUGGUCCAAUAUAUAUAUAUAUAUCUGAAGCAAAGGGGGACUAUCUUUUUACACAUAUACUCUGUUAUCAAUGUAUUAAGAAUGACCAUCUGGUAUACAAAAUAAAAAUACAACUUUCAACAACGGAUCUCUUGGCUCUCGCAUCGAUGAAGAACGCAGCGAAAUGCGAUAAGUAAUGUGAAUUGCAGAUUUCAGUGAAUCAUCGAAUCUUUGAACGCACCUUGCGCUCCUUGGUAUUCCGAGGAGCAUGCCUGUUUGAGUGUCAUUAAAUUUCUCAACUCUGAUAAUAGUUGUCAUAAAAUUAUUGUUUGAGCUUGGAGGGUGAGGGUUUUUGCUAAGCUAGAAAAAUAAAGUCUGCUUGGCUCCCUUGAAAUAUAUUAGCACGCAAAAGAGUCCCUUCUGCUUGGUCUUUUUCUCUGCUUCAGGUGUGAUAGUCUAUAUUUUACGCCUCUAGUUUUGACCAAGCAAAAAUAUGCUUUUUUGUGCUUCUAAAGAAACACUUUUUGUUGUUUUUGACUACUUGACCUCAAAUCAGGUAGGACUACCCGCUGAACUU
rnacentral:rRNA from 1 species